rnacentral:rRNA from 1 species
UACGUAGGGUGCGAGCAUUGUCCGGAAUUAUUGGGCGUAAGAGCUCGUAGGCGGCCUGUCACGUCGGAUGUGAAAGCCCGGGGCUUAACCCCGGGUCUGCAUUCGAUACGGGCAGGCUGGAGUUCGGUAGGGGAGAUCGGAAGUUCCUGGUGUAGCGGUGGAAAUGCGCAGAGUAUCAGGAGGAACACCGGUGGCGAAGGCGGAUCUCUGGGCCGAUACUGACGCUGAGGAGCGAAGCGUGGGAGCGAACAGG